rnacentral:rRNA from 1 species
GACAGAGGGUGCGAACGUUGUUCGGAAUUACUGGGCGUAAAGCGCGUGUAGGCGGCAAUGCAAGUCGGGCGUGAAAUCCCACGGCUCAACCGUGGAAGUGCACUCGAAACUGCAUAGCUAGAGUCCUGGAGAGGAAGGUGGAAUGCUUGGUGUAGCAGUGAAAUGCGUAGAGAUCGGGAGGAACACCAGUGGCGAAGGCGGCCUUCUGGACCAAUACUGACGCUCAUGCACGAAAGCGUGGGGAGCAAACAGG